rnacentral:rRNA from 1 species
CCUACGGGGGGCAGCAGUGAGGAAUAUUGGUCAAUGGCCGAGAGGCUGAACCAGCCAAGUCGCGUGAGGGAAGAAUGUCCUAAGGAUUGUAAACCUCUUUUGUCGGGGAGCAAAAAGGCUCUGCGGAGUCGUAUUGAGAGUACCCGAAGAAAAAGCAUCGGCUAACUCCGUGCCAGCAGCCGCGGUAAUACGGAGGAUGCGAGCGUUAUCCGGAUUUAUUGGGUUUAAAGGGUGCGCAGGCGGCGUGUCAAGCAAGCGGUAAAAUAGCGGGGCUCAACCCCGUCGAGCCGUUUGAACUGGCGCGC